GUUUGAUCAUGGCUCAGGACGAACGCUAGCGGCGUGCCUAAGGUAUGCAAGUCGAACGCCCCGAGCAAUCGGGGAGUGGCGAACGGUCGAGUAACACGUAGACAACCUGCCUCCGAGUGGGGGAUAACAGCGGGAAACUGCUGCUAAUACCGCAUGCGACGCUUUGUGGCAUCACGAAGCCGUCAAAGGAGCAAUUCGCUGGGAGAUGGGUCUGCGGCCUAUCAGCUUGUUGGUGGGGUAACGGCCUACCAAGGCGACGACGGGUAGCUGGUCUGAGAGGAUGAUCAGCCGGACGGGGACUGAGACACGGCCCCGACUCCUUCGGGAGGCAGCAAUGAGGGAUAUUGCGCAAUGGGGGAAACCCUGACGCAGCGACGCCGCGUGGGUGAGGAAGUCCUUCGGGAUGUAAAGCCCUUUUUCCUGGGACGAGCAAGGACGGUACCAGGAGAAUAAGCCCCGGCUAACUACGUGCCAGCAGCCGCGGUAAUACGUAGGGGGCGAGCGUUGUCCGGAUUUACUGGGCGUAAAGAGCGCGUAGGCGGAGUGUCAAGUCCGGCUUGAAAGCCCCCGGCUCAACCGGGGAGGGUGGCCGGAAACUGGCAUUCUUGAGGGCGAUAGAGGAGUGUGGAAUUCCUGGUGUAGCGGUGAAAUGCAUAGAUAUCAGGAGGAACACCCAUGGCGAAGGCAGCACUCUGGGUCGACCCUGACGCUGAGGCGCGAAAGCGUGGGGAGCGAACGGGAUUAGAUACCCCGGUAGUCCACGCCGUAAACGAUGGUCACUAGGUGUGUGCGGUAUCGACCCCGCACGUGCCGAAGCCAACGCAUUAAGUGACCCGCCUGGGGACUACGGCGCAAGGUUAAAACUCAAAUGAAUUGACGG
rnacentral:rRNA from 1 species